UCAAAACUCAACUCAGGGUACAAGGUCAUUUCUUCCAAGAAGAUGGGUUCUAGAGAUAGGCUACCUGCAUUAGCUUAAGGGUCUAGGGAUGGAUAUGGCCUGGUCUCAGUUAUACAGGUUAAAUAGAGGUCAUUUGGGCUAUUAGUCACCUCUAGUCCUGGUUGUGAGUGCUUUGGGGAUCCCCUGGAUACAUAGAUAAUGUGAGGGUCAUUUAGACUAUUAGAUAUCUCUGGUCCUGGUUGUGGGAGCUUGGGGAACUCCUGUCUAUAAGAGUCGUUUAGAUUGCUAGCCACCUCUAGUCCUGGUAAUAGAAGCUUGAUAUGGCUGGCUCAACAGAUAAAGAGAUCACAGGGCUGUUGGUCCCUCCAAUUCCCAGCUUUUUGGAUGGAAGGACAGGUUUUAUAUUUUUCCAUUGGGAAGAUAAUUCUGCAUGUUUAACAUUCCUGGUCUCCCUGGAGAUUUAUGGCACAAGGACCUUCAUGCUGUAUGCUCAAUAGUUCCUCUCUUCCCUCCUCCUCCCCUUGGUCUUCCUGUUAUGCAAUCUAUUUCACUUCUAUAUAUAUGUCUUUCUAGCCUAUACCUAACUUCUGUGGUUCUACAGACUGUAGCUUGAUUACCAAUGACUUAACAGUUAAUACCCACAUAUAAGCCAAAACAUACAUUUCUCUUUCUGGGUCUGGGUUACCUCAUUUAGGGUGGUUUGUUGUAGUUACAUCCAUUUACCUUUGAAUUUUAUUAUUUGUAAUGGCUGAGUAAUAUUCCAUUGUAUAGAUGUACCACAUUUUCUUUCUCCAUUCAUCUUUUGACAGAUAUCUAAGUUGUUCCCAGUUAUGGCUAUUGUGAAUAGAGCAGCAAUGAGCAUGGUUGAGCAAGAGUCUCUGGUGGGAUGAAGCAUCCUUUGGGUAUAUGCUGGGUGUUGAGGUAGAUGAUCUCCGUCUUCUCGAGACAGUCCAUAUGACCUGGGAGGCAUGGUGGUGAGUGCCCAGGGAAGGAAGCUGAGAGAUCACAUCUGUAUCUGCAAAUGUGAACCAGAGAGAGCAGUAUGAGAACUGGACUGAGGGGAUAA
rnacentral:lncRNA from 1 species